rnacentral:tRNA from 1 species
GGAAAAUGUCCCUGAACUUCAAACCCAGUUGGUGCGGUCAGCCCGCGCUAGGUCGGUUCGACUCCGGCUGCCUUCCGCCA